AUUGCAGGCCGAAGAGGACUGGCCUUUCAGUGGCCCCCGUGGAGUGGUAGGAAGCUGAGCUGGACUCUCCGCCACAUCGUUCGGUUCCCACAACAGCCUGAAAUGGGGUCUUCCCUUGUCACCCAGGCUGGAGUGCAGCGACAUGAUCAUAGUUUACUGCAGCCUGGGCUCAACUCCUGGGCUCCAGUGAUCCUCCCACCUCAGCCUCGCAAGUAGCUGGGACCAUAGAUGAAGAAGCAGCAGAAAAAAACGGAAGCCAUUUUGGUUAACGGGUCACAUCUUAGCAGUUGGCAGUGUAAGAAGGGGAAGGAUCCACUGGUCAGAAAUGGAGAUUGAGGUGAAGCUGAGGGCACGGAGGGCUUCAGGGGAGAGACUGUCCUUUGGAAAAGCGGGCAGUUUGCACUCGUGGUAGAUGAGAGGGGAGGCCUCUCAGUCUCUCUGCCCCUUUGCACAUGCUGCACCCGUUUCCAGUUUGAAGUCGUGGAGAGCUCCCCCAGGCACGGGCUGUGUGAAAGGGUUUAAAAGUCUGGGGGCAUGGCUGGGGGUCCCCGCAUGAGGGGUGCUGUGCAGGCUCC
rnacentral:lncRNA from 1 species